CAUUCAACAUUGAAAUAUUUUAGUUGAAAUUAAGACAAUUAAGUCAUGCAAAUAAGGCAAUCAUUGUCACUAGCUUGUCUGCUAGCGAUGCUUCUAGUUUGUUGUACAGCCAAACCAGUGCGCAGAGGACCACCACCACCACAACCAGUUGAGGGGGAUUCUCCUGAACAUCCAAAAUCUACUGGUCUAGCUUAUGACCACUACUUAAGACAAGUCGUUGAUGUUUUAGAAAGUGAUCCCGAGUUUAG
rnacentral:sRNA from 1 species